rnacentral:lncRNA from 1 species
GGCUUCAGUAACAGUAAAGCUAGACAUACCAAUUGAAACAAAUGGAUUUCAAUCUUCGACAAGGUCAUAACCGAAGACUACCAAACAAAGGGAAUCCAUACGAGCAACACACUGUUUCACAAGCAAGGCAUUCCCUGAAUCGCUAGCUUAAGAAUCAGCUAACCAUUAGGUUCAUCACAAUCAAAUUAUGAUAAUAAUCAAACACAACCACAUGAUGUGAAUGUAAUCAAAAUUAGAUGUAAAGUGUGAUUACCAGAAACACCUUCGUAGAUCAUAGUCGUCUUUAUAAUCCAUGCCACUUUGACUUUUUAUCACGUAUAGACAUAGUCAAUCACUACCGGAAACAGAAAGUUCGCCGAGUGCCUGGGGCACUCGGCGAAACGUUUGCCGAGUGUAACACUCGGUAAACGGCACACGGUAAAUUUUGACUCGGCAAAGUUAAGUUUGCCGAGUGUUUUCUGUCGUACACACGGCGAAGCUUUCGCCGAGUGACAAGAAAACACUCGGCAGACAUAUUUUUCGAAAAAAAUAAAAAAACGGCACGCCGACACCGUCGGCCGCACCACCAGCACCGCCGCCACCAUCCACACCGCCGCCAGCCACCGCCACUUCCUCCCGCCGCCACGCCAUGAACCCCGCCGCUGCCAGCACCGGCUCGCCGCCACCACGCCCCCGCGCCAGCCACCACCACACGCCGCUGCUUUGCUCUAGCCAGGCACCGCCGGAGCCUCGACCGUGCCGCCGAUGGAGCCCUGGUGGUGGUGUAGGAGGCCGCCGCCGCUCCCGGACAGUUCCGCGGCGUCCCUCGGUGGGCUCCCCGGACGGUCGAGACGGACUCCGCCGGAUCCGGGGAGGGGCGCCGCCGGUGACGGAGGGGAGGGGUGGGGAAGCAGAUUCGGGGGAGGGGCUCUGCGGGGAAGCAGAUCCGGAGGCCGGGCGUCGGGCGGCG